AUUGAACGCUGGCGGCAGGCCUAACACAUGCAAGUCGAGCGGAUGAAGAGAGCUUGCUCUCUGAUUUAGCGGCGGACGGGUGAGUAAUGCCUAGGAAUCUGCCUGGUAGUGGGGGAUAACGUCCGGAAACGGGCGCUAAUACCGCAUACGUCCUACGGGAGAAAGCAGGGGACCUUCGGGCCUUGCGCUAUCAGAUGAGCCUAGGUCGGAUUAGCUAGUUGGUGAGGUAAUGGCUCACCAAGGCUACGAUCCGCAACUGGUCUGAGAGGAUGAUCAGUCACACUGGAACUGAGACACGGUCCAGACUCCUACGGGAGGCAGCAGUGGGGAAUAUUGGACAAUGGGCGAAAGCCUGAUCCAGCCAUGCCGCGUGUGUGAAGAAGGUCUUCGGAUUGUAAAGCACUUUAAGUUGGGAGGAAGGGCAGUAAGUUAAUACCUUGCUGUUUUGACGUUACCGACAGAAUAAGCACCGGCUAACUUCGUGCCAGCCGCCGCGGUAAGAC
rnacentral:rRNA from 1 species